rnacentral:tRNA from 1 species
GCCGGAGUGGUGGAACGGUAGACACGCAGCACUUAGGAUGCUGUGCCUUCGGGCGUGGGGGUUCGAGUCCCCCCUUCGGCACAA